GACGAACGCUGGCGGCGUGCUUAACACAUGCAAGUCGAACGGAAAGGCCCUGCUUUUGUGGGGGGCUCGAGUGGCGAACGGGAGAGUAACGCGUGAGUAACCUGCCCUUGACUUUGGGAUAACUUCAGGAAACUGGGGCUAAUACCGGAUAGGAGCUCCUGCGGCAUGGGGGGGGUGGGAAAGGUUCGGCGGUUGGGGCUGGUCGCGCGGCUUAUCAGCCUGUUGGUGGGGUAGUGGCUUACCAAGGCUUUGACGGGUAGCCGGCCUGAGAGGGUGACCGGCCCCAUUGGGACUGAGAUGCGGCCCAGCCUCCUACGGGAGGGCGCAGUGGGGAAUAUUGCGCAAUGGGCGGAACCCUGAUGCAGCAACGCCGCGUGGGGGAUGACGGCCUUCGGGUUGUAAACCGCUUCCGCCUGUGACGAAGCGUGAGUGACGGUAAUGGGUAAAGAAGCACCGGCUAACUACGUG
rnacentral:rRNA from 1 species